rnacentral:misc_RNA from 1 species
GUCUAAUACGACCAAGCUAUAACUGCUUGUCUAUUAUCCAAGAGGUAAACUUUGCGCAUGAAUCCAACGUGCACAUUUUAUGGAGGGGUCAAGGAUGACCCUUGU